rnacentral:misc_RNA from 1 species
GUGAGUCAUCGAAUCUUUGAACGCAUAUUGCGCUCUCCGGCAUUCCGGAGAGCAUGCCUGUUUGAGUCUUGGUACAUAACCGGUAUAACCUUUGUAGUAAGAGUAGAAUUUCUUUACGAAAAAACCGCAUUGAGACGUCUCGAUAAGUAACAUUGUCGAGUGUCUUAAAAUAUAAUAGUACAGCUAUAGCUCACCCUCUUUGGAGUAAUAUGUGACCUGAAAGGGUAACUCUAUAUUCUCCUCGUUGGGUAGCUUGCUGUUGGAAGUCUUUGAGUGCUGAACGUCAAGGGCGGCAUUCAA